UCAGGUGGCAACAGCGGCGGGGCCCCACCUCUUCCCAUUCCGAACAGAGCAGUUAAGCCCGUCCGCGCCGAUGGUACUGCACCCGUGUGGGAGAGUAGGUCGCUGCCUGGU
rnacentral:rRNA from 1 species